rnacentral:rRNA from 1 species
CCUCCAAGGCUAAAUACUCGUAAUCGACCGAUAGUGAACCAGUACCGUGAGGGAAAGGCGAAAAGAACCCCGGGAGGGGAGUGAAAUAGAUCCUGAAACCGUGUGCAUACAAACAGUCGGAGCCUCGUAAGGGGUGACGGCGUACCUUUUGUAUAAUGGGUCAGCGACUUACAUUCAGUGGCGAGGUUAACCAGAUAGGGGAGCCGUAGAGAAAUCGAGUCCGAACAGGGCGCCAGUCGCUGGGUGUAGACCCGA